AUUGAACGCUGGCGGCAUGCCUUACACAUGCAAGUCGAACGGCAGCAUGAUCUAGCUUGCUAGAUUGAUGGCGAGUGGCGAACGGGUGAGUAAUACAUCGGAACGUGCCCUGUAGUGGGGGAUAACUAGUCGAAAGAUUAGCUAAUACCGCAUACGACCUGAGGGUGAAAGUGGGGGACCGCAAGGCCUCAUGCUAUAGGAGCGGCCGAUGUCUGAUUAGCUAGUUGGUGAGGUAAAGGCUCACCAAGGCGACGAUCAGUAGCUGGUCUGAGAGGACGAUCGGCCACCCUGGAACUGAGACACGGCCCAGGCUCCUACGGGAGGCAGCAGUGGGGAAUUUUGGACAAUGGGCGAAAGCCUGAUCCAGCAAUGCCGCGUGUGUGAAGAAGGCCUUCGGGUUGUAAAGCACUUUUGUCCGGAAAGAAAUGGCUCUGGUUAAUACCUGGGGUCGAUGACGGUACCGGAAGAAUAAGGACCGGCUAACUACGUG
rnacentral:rRNA from 1 species